UACGAAGGGGGCUAGCGUUGCUCGGAAUCACUGGGCGUAAAGGGUGCGUAGGCGGCCAACUAAGUCAUACGUGAAAUCCCUCGGCUUAACCGGGGAACUGCGUCUGAUACUGGAUGGCUUGAGUUCGGGAGAGGGAUGCGGAAUUCCAGGUGUAGCGGUGAAAUGCGUAGAUAUCGGGAGGAACACCGGUGGCGAAGGCGGUUCUCUGGGCCUUACCUGACGCUGAGGCGCGAAAGCUAGGGGAGCAAACAGG
rnacentral:rRNA from 1 species